rnacentral:lncRNA from 1 species
AGAGAAACCAAACUUCUCCGCCCAUAAUAAUGUUCACCUAAAAUACAAUGCUUUAUCUUCAAAAAUAAAUACCCAUAACUCAAAACAAUUUCGUUUGUCCACACUCCACACACAAACAAACAUUUCGAAGCAGUCCAUUUUCUUUUUCAUUUUUCACACACACUUUUCGUACAUAUAGCUAAAAUAAACAUCUUACAUAUACCAUAACUCAUAAUUCAUCCUUAAAUCACAAGUUUUCAUUUCAUCAAACAAUUUUCAGCAGCUUUUCUCAUGGAGAUUUUCUGGUUUUUCAAAAUUUUCUUGACUUUCACCUUCUUUUUCUUGAUGGGAGAUCCAUUUUUCUCUCAUUCAUCUUCUUUGCCCGAGGGAAUCGCGAAGUCUGCAGCUGUACACCGCAAUUACACCGCCAUAUCAGAGUUUCGAGUACUCAACAGAAAACCUUUGAAGGAUUGCCCCGACCUGAACCCGUAUUUGCAAAUAAACACAAGCUCCAUUGCCAAGCUUUCUGAUGAUGGAUAUAUAACAGUAAAUGUUACAGGAGUUUUACUUCCUUCGGCUACUGAUUGGGUCGCAAUGAUUUCCCCAUCUCAUGCCGUGUAAGAUGAUUAUUUUCGUAUCUAAAUAAUCUGAUUCUACGCUUGAAAAAACGGUAAAUUUAAUCUGAUCUUGCAGUGUAACAGCCUGUUUAGAAAACUCAAUUCUUUAUAAGGAGACAGGAGAUUUUAGUAGUCUUCCUCUUCUCUGCCAUUAUCCUGUUAAGGUAAGUGCAUUCUACUUUUGCAAAACGUUUGAAGGAUUAUAAUAAUCACAGUUUAAUUAGCCUUGAGAUUAUUUUAUAUUUUACUGCGCGCAGCCAUUCUUUUAAUUUAUUUCUUGACAUGCCUGGUUCAUAAUGAUCAGAAAUCUGUUUAAGUAUCAAAUAAUUCAGAAACUGAGAGUUUCUUGAAAAAUUUGUCCUUGAUCCGAUAUUUACUCGACAUAGUAACAACAACAAUAACAAACUAAUGUCGAUCGACUUGGGUUAUUGCUAAAAUUUGCAGGCUCAAUAUUUAAGAAGUGAUCCAGAUUACUUAAGUUGCAAGAAGAAGGAAUGCAAGAAAAAAGUGAAUGGAAAAUGCGUGUUGAGAACAUGUAGUGCGUCUUUGUCAUUUCAUGUCAUUAAUAUUCGAACUGAUAUCGAAUUUGUGCUGUUUGCUGGUGGAUUUGUUGCGCCUUGCAUUUUGAGAAGAUCACAGCCACUCAGAUUUGCCAAUCCAAACAAGCCUUUAUAUGGACAUAUAUCGAGUACCGAUUCAACAGCAAAAUCGGUAUGGAAUGCCAUCUCUGAUCUCCAAUAUCCAUGCAUGUGGUUGAGAAUUAAUUAUUUUAUUUUUAUUUACAACAUUUUAGAGGAAAUAGUUCGACGAUUUUUUAUUUAUUUAUUUUUGAUAAUAUGUUAUUAAAAAGCGGAAGUUAUGAAUUUCAUAAAAUGUGUGUGACUGAAAAUUAUUUGAACGAAAAAAGUUUAAGAAAAAGUUGUAUCAAACAUGCCUUUAUUUAACCCCUAUUUGGUAUAGCUAAAAAUUAAUUUUUUGUAAAUUUUAAUAAAAGUUGAUGAAAUGUAUUGAAAAGUUUGAAUCCCUUAAAUUAUUUAAUUAAAAUAAAAUUUUAAUUUUCACCAUAAUUUUUCAAUUCCUUACUCCUGUAAGAAAUGGCACAAGGCUUUGUUGACUUUGCUAUCAUUAAUUGCCUUGUCCGCCCGGCAAGAUUAUCGUUCACAAGCAUCUGCAAUUUCCUCUUUUUAAUAAAUUAAACAGCUGUGAUGGGAUGGCAACAUAUUUACCUUCUUUAUGGGAUUAAAAUCAAAAUUUAUUGAUAAAAAUUAAUAAAAUGUAUGAUUGAAAAGUUGUGAAUCCUAUAAAAUAUAUUAUUAAAUCUAAUUAUUAAUUAUAAUUAUAAUUAUAAUUUUAAAUCCUAAUGAAUGGGGACUUAAAGAUCUACCACCAACUUAACUGAGCAAUUACUGUUGUGCAGAACAAAUAUUGAAUAUUCUCACCUUUUACUGAAUUAAGUAAUUAAUUCAGUGUACUCGUGGGAUUAAAAAGUCAGCAGCAGUUGACUGCAAAAUUUUGAGGUGUGAAAGAAGAAAAAACGUAGCAGUGCUUUCAAACGUAGGGCCACAUAAUAUUAGUGCAUGGGAAGUGAUAAAUAAUUAUAUAUUUAAUUAGGUAUAUUUUUUAUGCUGAUGAGAUUAGACAUUAUAAAGAAUAGAUUUUGUAAUGUUUUUUCCCAAAGUUUGAUGCAUUAUAAUUUUGACGUGUCAAAAUUUUAGUGAGACGCAUUUUUGCCUUUAAAAAAAACAACGAAAGAGACAACAAGAUAGAGCAACAAAUGUAGACUCGUCGUGAACGCAUUAACACCUGUAUUUGAUAUGAAUAUAUUUGGUAAGAUUUGAUAUGAAUAUAUGGAGAAUAUAAUGGAUUUUUCAAAAUUGUGAUAAUUGCAGAUGAGAGUAACAUGGGUGAGUGGAAACCAACAGCCUCAACAUGUUCAAUUUGGAAAUGGGAAAUCAGUUACCUCACUUGUUUCUACUUUUUCACAAAGUGAUAUGUGCAACAGUAAGUUUCUUAUUCUCCUCGUGCUUUUGCUUAAAGUAGCUUAAAACCGUAUAUCUUUGAGACUUUUAUAAACAACCAAAUGACUUGAUUGAACAUCGUUUUGUCUACCCAUUUGAGAAGACUAAUGUUAUUCGGCACAACUAAUGUUAUAGUUUUUUCCAUGAAUUCUCGAAGGGAUUGGCAUCUUCAAUCUAGAUUAAUGUUUUAUUCUAAAAUAUUGUUUCCUUUUUAUCGAAAAUAAGCUUCCUACUUACAAAGUCCUGCCAAGGAUUUUGGGUGGCAUGACCCUGGCUACAUUCAUUCAGCUGUAAUGACAGGACUCAACCCUUCAACCAAGUACCUCUACAGAUAUGGAAGGUAAAUUUUUGUUUCCAAGUGAAAAAUAAGAAGAGGGAAAAAGAAAGCCGAAAACAUUCUGCAGUAGGAAAAUAUUUUUAAUUUCGACUGGUAAAAAAUCGAAAAACUUAUUGCAUAUACUCAGACUUACAUGUAUUAUACAUAAUUUGAACAUAUAAUACAGUGAUUCAAGUGGAUGGAGUAAUUGGACAACAUUCAAAACACCGCCUGCUGGUGGAUCAGAUGAGCUUAAAUUUCUUGCAUUUGGUGACAUGGGCAAGGCUUCUCGUGAUGCUUCUACUGAACACUAUAUACAGGUAAUAUAUAAGUGUGGAUAUGUCUGUUACAGAAAAUAUGAAUACAAUGCAAUUAUGGCUAAAAAGGGCCUUAUUUUUGGGGAUAAAUAUAGCCAGGAUCACUAUCAGUCAUCGAAGCUAUGGCCGACGAACUAUCCUCCAGUGGAGUCGACGCAAUAUAUCAUAUUGGAGACAUAAGCUAUGCCACAGGUUUUCUAGUAGAAUGGGACUUUUUCCUUCACCAAAUUAAUCCAGUGGCCUCUAAAGUUUCUUACAUGACUGCAAUUGGGAAUCAUGAGAGGUAUGCUGUUCGGUUCAAAAUUGUGUAACUGUCACAUAUUUAAUGAGAAAAUGGUUCGACGCUGUUUAAGCUUUUAGACAAACUGAUAAAAAUUCGAGGUAUUAUCUUUCAGGGAUUUUGGAGACUCCGGAUCGGUUUAUUUUACUCCGGACUCUGGUGGUGAGUGUGGGGUACCUUAUGAGACAUAUUUUCCAAUGCCAGCAGUUGCAAAGGAUAAGCCAUGGUAUUCUAUAGAACAAGGGAGUGUUCACUUUACAGUAAUUUCAACAGAGCAUAAUUGGACACAAAACUCAGAACAGGUACAUAAAUAACCUUCUUUUACACUGUUUUGUGCCUCGUUUAGCAUAGUAGGUAAUGUAAUACUAGAAAGUAGAGUAAUGUCUAAUAAGUUUAUGUUGUCUAAUACCAGGUGUAUGUUUGAUAUUGAUUUUUCUCCUCAAAACAUUCAUUUUUUGACCAUUAUUUCACUAUUUCAGCCGUCAUUUUUGACUUCUUCUCUCACAAAUUAGACACAUUUUUCUCUCUAACAGUCAAAAAAUCAAUUUUCAAAAUCACUAUCGAACAAGCCCCAGCAACAAAACUUAGCCUUACAUCUUUUCCGUCUCAUGGAACAAAAUAAUAAUUGUUGCACUUAACUUCAUUGUGUCCUUGCACAGUAUGAAUGGAUGAAGAAGGACAUGGCUUCAGUUGAUCGAUCAAGAACUCCAUGGUUAAUAUUCACGGGGUAAUUUUAUAUUUUCAAGGCCACGGCCAAUAUCUUUUUAUUGCAUUUCGAUUAGCCAACUUUUAACUAAAACUCUGCUUGUCUUCUUUCAUGAGUAGGCUAGAUGUUUAAUCAACAAUAAACUAAAUGUUUUGCGUUUUUCCUAAACAAAUUUGGAUCAGUAACAAAUUAUCAUGAAUGAAAAUUCUUGUCAGUGACCACCGACAGUAGGUCGAUAUGUGAUUUAGAUGGAAUUAUCGACAAUGAUGUUGUUGGUGAUUGUUAAUAUAUUGUCAUUAGUGAUUGUCAAUGGACCGCUUAAUUCUUGAGUCGACUCUGAUUUAAAAGAUGCACGAAUAUGUUUUUUUUACUGCUCCGUUCAUUUCAUUGCCACAUUACUUAAAUCCAAUGCCAGUAACAGAAACAUGUACAAAUAAUCAAUUCAUUAAUUUUACAUGUCAAUAAAAUUAAUGAAUAUUGCGAAUUGACUACAGGCACAGGCCCAUGUAUUCCUCCAACGACGGAAACAUUAUUUUGCCAAGCGUCGACGACAAAUUCGUCCAAGCCGUGGAGCCAUUGCUACUAGCCAAUAAGGUAAAAGUUUCCAUCGAGAACACAAAUUUUAGUAAGUACUGGCUUCGUGAUUAAUUGUACUCACUAACAUAUAAAUGGAUCUACAGGUUGAUCUUGUUCUAUUUGGACACGUUCACAACUACGAAAGAACAUGUGCCGUUUAUAAGCAACAAUGCAAGGCAAUGCCAAAGAAAGAAAGAAAUGGAAUUGAUACAUAUGAUAAUACAAAGUAUAGUGCACCAGUUCAUGCUGUUAUUGGAAUGGCUGGCUUUAGCUUGGAUAAGUUCUCCAACAAGGUAAGUAGUUACAACCUCAAGCCCUCAUAGAGACUCGUCCCCCCACUCUCAUCGUCGUCUCAAGUAUCAAACUUGGAUCCCCUGUCAAUUUUUCUUGACCUUUGGGUUUCAAAUUCAAUUUUGUAGCUUGAGAUUUCUCUAUACGAUUUAUUAAAGAUGAUCUUAAAAGAAAUCCAUGUCUUGGGACACAAAUUCUACCGGACGUUAACUCAAAAAGAAAAAAAUGUCAAGAAAGAUAUACAAAUACUCGAGCCUACAAUGAGAAUCACAGUUGCAAUUUUUCAUGGAAAAUAGUAACACAUACUAGAAUCAUGGGGACGUUUUUUUGUUCGUGAUGGACAGGGGAAGCCAUGGAGUUUGGUUAGGAUUUCCGAGUUUGGAUACACAAGAGUGCAUGCAACAAAGAAAGAGCUAAAAGUUGAGGUCAGUUCAUGAAUCUUUAUCUGCUUUAAUUUUAAAAUUGGGUGAUGCAAUAAGAACAUCAAAUUGAGUUAAUUUCUUGACAUGUUUAUAUCAUUUUGCAGUAUGUAAAUUCAAAUACAAGAAACGUUGAAGAUAGCUUCCGAAUCAUCAAAAGUUGAAAAAUGAAAAAUAUAUAGGCAGGGAGAUUUGCUUUAUAAAUAUAUUGUAAUGAAAGAACAUUGGAAAUCUUUUAAGAGCACUUGUAUUUUCUAAAUAGCUUCUCUGAUUUUUAUUUUUGAAUCUAAACUGUCUUGGUCAGUUGAUUUCAUCCCAGUUUUUGAAGAACUGUUUUUAGACUAUGACCAAACCAGUUCCCAAGCUGACAUUUUUUCCAGUCAAACUCACCAGAUCAGGCUGAUUUUUAAAACAUUGGUAAAUGUACUAUGAAUAGGAGAAAGUAAUGGACAUGAUCUUAAGAAUUCUACUCUUAAGAACAUAAAAAUGCUUGCUCUAACCAGGGCCGGUCCUGGGCUGAGGCGAGUGAGGCCCGCGCCUCAGGCCCAGGACCAUAGGGGGCCUCCUGUUGGUCCAAUUAAUUUUUUUUUUUUUUUUUUUGUAAUAAAGAAACGAGGCCAGUUUAAACUGAAAAGCGAGAUUAUAUACAGCCCCAAGCCCUAACUCAAAAUACCUUCAAAGUUCAACCGCUGGGAUCUUCAAUCUUGGCUUCUCGUUCACUUGGCGAGCGUUAAAUAUAGCAGCAAUUUUGCAUUUACACGUUUUCAGACUACUACUCCAAAAAAGAGGAUUUUAGAGAGAGAUUAAUUUUCGGUUUCCGAUUCUCAUUACCGCCGAAUCGCCGAAUGCCGAUCAACGAACGCC